UACGGAGGGUGCAAGCGUUAUCCGGAUUCACUGGGUUUAAAGGGUGCGUAGGUGGGUUGGUAAGUCAGUGGUGAAAUCCCCGGGCUUAACCUGGGAACUGCGCUUGUAACUAGCGGGCUAGAGUGCGGCAGAGGGGGGUGGAAUUCCACGUGUAGCAGUGAAAUGCGUAGAUAUGCGGAGGAACACCGAUGGCGAAGGCAAUCCCCUGGGCCUGCACUGACGCUCAUGCACGAAAGCGUGGGGAGCAAACAGG
rnacentral:rRNA from 1 species